GAAUGGGAAUAAGUUUAAAACAAUGAAAGGAAAUAUUAGUAAGGGUAAAUUUGUAAAAGUGUUAUUAAUUCCUUAUCUAUUUCAAUUCACUAUCCAAACAAAAUAUUGGUAUAUUUUCAUAAAUUCCCUCCAAACUCCCAUUCCCACAUUCCAAACGCCCUAUUAGCGUAGCUAAUAUAUUCUCUCUCCUUUUUUUCAUUUCGUUCUCUCUCUCUCUCUCACUCUCUCUAUUCACUACCAGCCAGAUCUUGCAGGCUUGCAGCUCCUUGAGUUUCUCCUUCUUCUUUAAUUCUCUUUAAUUUCUGCAUAUUCUACUUCUUAGAUUAUUUUUUUCCGGUUUUUUUUUUCUGCAGAUCUUCGUCGGUGGUGGCAUAUACGAAGAAUGGAGAUAGAUUGGUGGGCAGAUUGCGAAGCGGAAGGUGCUCGUUAAUCCCGAGGUGCUCCAUUGUAACUCUGAAUCCUUGGUUUCUCUCCUCCAUUAAAGCAGCGUCUCAGGGUGGCUAUGAGGCCUAUGACUAUGUGAUUGGAACUUUAGAGCAUGGCCAAGUCGUCAAGUCAUUUGAGCUUUGUAUACCUGUGUUUAGUUUACUUGCUCCAAUAUAUGCUCAGAUGAUGAAGUCUUACUUUUGGCUUCAGAUUGCUGAUGGUUCUAUUCAACAAGUUAAACAAGAGGUGGUGAUUGAUGAUAGACUAUUUCUUAGAUGUAGAGAGUGACUUUUAUUAAUUUUUUAAAUGAAGAAUUCACCUUUUUAGGCUAUUUAGUAUCUCAGAUACAAGCAAAUGCAUAGCCUGACAUGUCUUUAUUUCCUUAGGAACGGAAAUCCUUUGAUGAAAAGUUCAUUCAAAUGGAUACAAAAAGGCUCUGCAAGUUGGCAUCUAGUGCUGAUAGCCUGCAAUUGAAGCCCCUGGUUGAGCCCUUGCUGAUAUUUUUUUUCAUAUUUUUUCAAAUGUAAAAUUACAGAUUUUUUUAUGAAUAUAUGAGUUUUAUGUUUAUUAUGUA